CUCUGGUAUGCAUGAGAAGGUGAUGAAGGUUUUUCUCCUGCGCUGGGAUGGCACCGAAACCACAGUGCAUUCGGGGUUGCUACCUCCUAGUUGGCUUCUCUUUUUUAAUGCUAAUAAUAUUGAUUUUGGGUACAGUGGAUCUCAGGCAAGGGAAACUCCAGUAAACGAAAGCUGACUAUAGCCAAACGUGGCUGAUGUUUCUUUUUUCCUCAGGGUUGGCAGGCCCUGCCUGCCUUUCCAUCUGCCCAGUGCUGGCCUUGAACACCCGGAGUGGCUUCUCUGCACGCUCUCCUGUGGGCUGCCUUCCUGCCUUGGUGCUGGCGCCCAGAGCUUGAGACCCAUUUCUGUCUGCAAGAGGACUGUGGUCUUUGCCCUUGCUCCGCUGAGCUCUGGCUGCCACCUGCAUCCAGCAUGCGUUCCCAGCACCCCCCGUCCCGGCUCCAGGCCGAGUUCAUCUGGGGCCUGCUACCAGGGUGACGAGGACCCCACGGAAUGCUCAGACCGGGCCCCGGCACAUCACAAAUGCUGCAGAAGUGAGUUGUCAUCCACAUCAUCAGAGGCCAUGACUCUGCAUCACUCAGAGCAAGGGUGGAGCCUUCCCGGCAAGGAUUCGACUCUGUUCCAGGAAGAAGAGAGGCAAUGAGCAAAAAGACCACAGCAGGCAUGUCGUAGAGGAGGAAACGGAGUGCACAGAUGAACACGGGAAAAGCUGCCCGAUGUCACGAGGAUGCAGGGAAGUGCAAGGUAAGGUCCCCGUGAGAGAUUUCACAUCCAUCAGGCUCACAGUGAGGAAGACAUGUGACAUCUGACAGCACCGAGGGUCUGAAAGGAUGGAGAUCAGCUGGCACCCACGGUUGAUGAGUGUGAAACCUGGUCUGGCCACACUGAAAACCGCUUUGGCCUUUUCUUGUUAGGUUGACCAGUCCCAUGCCUUAGCACCCUGCAAAUCCACUCCCAGGAGCCACACAAGGCACACCCAAGAAGAGUUCGUCGCAGCACUGUUAGCAAGAGGAGGGGGAGAGAGGAAAUGACCCAGAUACUCCCUGACAGAGCAAUGCAAAAAGAAAUUGUAGCACGGUCACACAAUUUCUUUCCACACUGGUGACAGCAAACUCCAGCUACACAGCAGCACGGCUCAAGCUCAGAGAGAGGGAAAUGUUGAGUACAAAAAUGCAAAUUUUAGAGAUCUACGUACAGAGAGGAAGUUUUUAGAGCUUGAGAACGAAGAAGCAAUCUAAUGUUUAGGCUUAUUCAGUCGGCCUGUGAGCAAGAGAAUGGCAAACAAACAAACACCAAAUUGCAGAGAGGGGUGACCUGCAGGCAAGGAGGAGAUGGAAGUGACUGGGAAUGUUCUAGUUCUGGAGUUGAGCUGUGGGCCCACGGAUGUUCAUUGUCCCACCAUCCUUCAGAAUGCACGAAACACACGAAGUAUUAAAACAGAACAGAGGCAAAGGGGAAAAACAAGAAGAGAAACAUGGUGUGGGUCCAGACACAUCCAGUAUGAUUUCCUUGUCACACACAUAGUUGACUGUUUUCACGUGGUGUCACGGGGGGUCCCAAGAGUUCCGUCGAGAGGCCAGAGCGGGAAGUGAAAGGACAGGCAAUUGGACGAGGGCAUUCUUCCCUCUGGGCCUCGUUUCUUCAUAUGCAAAAUGAGGGGGUGUACCAGGAGUGCCAAAUGGCUGGCGUGCAUAACCCAGGCCUCCCCUUCCUGACCCGCUGCGGACACUACUCGUGCAUUGCAGCACUGUUUCACAUGGAGCACAGACACGCAGCGUUGGGCUCUGCAGCUGGGCCCUGCAGGCUGCCGGGAAUGCCAGUCUGAGAGGGCACACUAAGUGAUACCUACGUGCUGAUCUGGAGAGACCCAGAUCCCUCCAGCUGUGGCCUGGAAGGUUCUGAUGCCUCACCAGCAGGCACUAGCUAGUCUGAGAGGCAGGGGCCCUAGGGAGGAGCCGA